UUGAAAAUGAAAAUAUGGAAGGUUUGUGAUUUUAGGUGUGGUGAUUUGACGAGAUUUUGAUAACUAGUUAUCACUAGCAAUGCUAAUUUCGAAAACUUAUUAGUAUGUCAAUAUUGGAUUUUGGUAGAUAGACAAAUUUCGAGUUGUUUUUGUCAAUGAAAUUGCUCGCCGAAAGUGGAAAUAAAGAAGGCGCGCCUUUUUAGAGCCUUGUGCUUGGAACAAGGUGUACGCUUAAGCGCAUAAGGCGAGGGCUUGGUGA
rnacentral:misc_RNA from 1 species